rnacentral:ribozyme from 1 species
UCCCCAGCAACUCCUAUCCCUACCUCCUCGUGGUACUGGCCGGGGUACGAGUAACCUUGGGGAAGAUCGGGUAACCAACCCCCGGUGGGAACUUUGGUCGUAUGCUGACAGGGAAGG